rnacentral:rRNA from 1 species
GAUGAACGCUGGCGGCGUGCCUAAUACAUGCAAGUCGAGCGAAUGGAUUAAGAGCUUGCUCUUAUGAAGUUAGCGGCGGACGGGUGUGUAACACGUGGGUAACCUGCCCAUAAGACUGGGAUAACUCCGGGAAACCGGGGCUAAUACCGGAUAACAUUUUGAACCGCAUGGUUCGAAAUUGAAAGGCGGCUUCGGCUGUCACUUAUGGAUGGACCCGCGUCGCAUUAGCUAGUUGGUGAGGUAACGGCUCACCAAGGCAACGAGGCGUAGCCGACCUGAGAGGGUGAUCGGCCACACUGGGACUGAGACACGGCCCAGACUCCUACGGGAGGAAGCAGUAGGGAAUCUUCCGCAAUGGACGAAAGUCUGACGGAGCAACGCCGCGUGAGUGAUGAAGGCUUUCGGGUCGUAAAACUCUGUUGUUAGGGAAGAACAAGUGCUAGUUGAAUAAGCUGGCACCUUGACGGUACCUAACCAGAAAGCCACGGCUAACUACGUGCCAGCAGCCGCCGUAA